ACCAAGCGAGUGGAGCGCCAGAGCUACCAUCUCCCGGAAAUAUGUGGAACGACCAUAAUUACUAGGUAACUGGGGUAGGGUUUACUGAAGCCCAAACGCCAGUUUCGACAACAUCGAGAGGAUCCG